rfam:Crassostrea gigas strain 05x7-T-G4-1.051#20 contig18068, whole genome shotgun sequence.
CAGAUGGUUCAGUGGGUAGAGCACCUGACUAGAGAUUCAGGGGGCCCAAGUUCGAAUUCUGGUCUG